rnacentral:lncRNA from 1 species
GUAAUGAGAAAAUCAAUCGGGCAGGAGUACCGGGAAGUCGUUGAAAGAAGGGUAUUCACUGUAACUGGUAAUCGCCUUGAUGAAGAGGUAUAGUGGCAACAUUUUUUCUUCUAUGGUUAAAUUUGUGCUUUUUUUCUUUCUAUUGUUUAUCUUUCUUAUAGUGUGCCUCCUUUAUAACUUUGGAACCUGGAGACAAUUGAUGGUUUAAUCGAGACAUGAAGAAUCAUGCGGAUGACAAAAUUAACUCCACAUUUGAGGCUUUUUUUUGUUAACAAAAAAUAAUAUUAUGUGCAAACAAUCAACACAUCUUUCCAAAAAAAUAUAAUCAGGUGCAAACAAUCAAAACAUGUAUGCUCAUAUUUCUAAAUAAAAUAAAAUUAACUACACAUUUAAGUUUUUGUUUUAUUUUUCCUACAAACAUAGUCAUAUUUCAGGUACAAUGACCAAGGAAGAUCAUAUAAAAAAUAAAACUUCAUUUUAGAAAAUUAAAUAAACUAACAAUGAGAUUCGAAUAUUCCUAAGAAAAAAAUGAAUAUAGGGUCUAACCUAAAAGAAAUAUUAGCCUGUUAGAUUUCAUCAAUUUAUUUUAAAAUUGUUACAGUAGGAUAAUGGUUUAAAUUUUGAAAUUUUGUUAUUAAUGUCAUGAAAUGAGAUUUGGCAUAGUAAAAAUCUCUUAUUCUAUGCAGGAAGGGUACAAUUCAAGCUAGAAAAUCCACACUAGCAGUAGAUACUCUGUAGCUAUCAAUCCAUGUACAAAACAAUGCAUGCCUUUGUAACUUUUUUUUGGCACUAUUAAACUUGAACGGGGAAAUUAAGCUUUAUUAAUAUUUCAUAUUCA